rnacentral:rRNA from 1 species
UACGUAGGGUGCAGGCGUUAAUCGGAAUUACUGGGCGUAAAGCGUGCGCAGGCGGUUUGCUAAGACAGGUGUGAAAUCCCCGGGCUUAACCUGGGAACUGCGCUUGUAACUGGCAAGCUAGAGUGUGGCAGAGGGGGGUGGAAUUCCGACGUGUGAGCAGUGAAAUGACGUAGAGAUGUGGAGGAACACCGAUGGCGAAGGCA